CUUUCAAAAGUCUCAUUUUCUAAAGAUCGACAGGCGAAUCUUUGGGGGUAUGAACGAGCAACGGGCGGGAUUUCAUCUCACCUGCGAUUGUUCUCCGGCGGCAGAACGCUCCAGUCCUGCUCGUAAUACGGAUACAUGGUGGCUUCUCACUGGAGCACGGAACUAAACCGACUGGAAUGGGAGCGGGAGUGCGUUCGGGUAUGGGAAUGGCAGCGAUAAGCGGCGAGUGCUCCACAUAGGCCUUAUCUAAUGUACACUAAUAGUUAACAGCACUUAUCUAUCGGACUGAUAAUGGUAAUAAUAAUGCUCCCCGCGCCGUGAGAACACCGCAAUCCCGGCUGUUUGCUGGUUGUUUCUUUCGGCGGUUCGGUGUCGGUCGGUUCGGAUAAGCGGAGCCCCAUUGACAACCGCCAUAUCGAGGUGUACUACGAGUGCAGUGCUGUUAGAUAAAUCCGCGACUCUCCCGAUUUUGGUGGACCUCGAAUCGCCCACAUUUUGUGGCUAACGAUUAACCAUGACAGCUGCGAAUGGAUUCAGUUUUAUUACAUUUUUGGCAUCCAAAUACCCAAUAUUGCAAUAACUAUAAACGAGAUUUUAAUAAAUAGAUCAGAUGUAAUCGAAUGUUA